UACGGAGGGUGCAAGCGUUAUCCGGAUUCACUGGGUUAAAGGGUGCGUAGGUGGGCAAGUAAGUCAGUGGUGAAAUCUCCGGGCUUAACCCGGAAACUGCCAUUGAUACUAUUUGUCUUGAAUACUGUGGAGGUCAGCGGAAUAUGUCAUGUAGCGGUGAAAUGCUUAGAAUAUGACAUAGAACACCAAAUUGCGAAGGCAGCUGGCUACACAAAUAUUGACACUGAG
rnacentral:rRNA from 1 species